rnacentral:snoRNA from 1 species
ACGACUAUACUCAAACAGGAUCUGUUCCAUAGCGCGAACAUCUUGAUCUGUGAACACCAUCGUAGACAAGUCCCUCAACCCGGACGAUGACCAGAGGCUUGGGUGCCGGUGCACGAUACCGCUGGCCGGGCUCGGUGCAACUCUGGGCUAGGCUCAGCCUGAUGGCCGUCCCGCCGCAUUCAUUCCGCCGGCGGUGAAGGCAUCCAAGUGCUCUGACGGGUU